rnacentral:sRNA from 1 species
GCCGGGAGCAGUGGCGCCACCUGUAAUCCCAGCAGUUUGGGAGGCUGAGACAGGGGGAUCACGAGUUCAAAGCCAGCCUCAGCAAAAGCGAGGUGCUAAGCAACUCAGUGAGCCCCUGUCUCUA